rnacentral:rRNA from 1 species
GACGAACGCUGGCGGCGUGCUUAACACAUGCAAGUCGAACGGAAAGGCCCUGCUUUUGUGGGGUGCUCGAGUGGCGAACGGGUGAGUAACACGUGAGUAACCUGCCCUUGACUUUGGGAUAACUUCAGGAAACUGGGGCUAAUACCGGAUAGGAGCUCCUGCUGCAUGGUGGGGGUUGGAAAGUUUCGGCGGUUGGGGAUGGACUCGCGGCUUAUCAGCUUGUUGGUGGGGUAGUGGCUUACCAAGGCUUUGACGGGUAGCCGGCCUGAGAGGGUGACCGGCCACAUUGGGACUGAGGUACGGCCCAGACUCCUACGGGAGGCAGCAGUGGGGAAUAUUGCACAAUGGGCGGAAGCCUGAUGCAGCAACGCCGCGUGCGGGAUGAUGGCCUUCGGGUUGUAAACCGCUUUCGCCUGUGACGAAGCGUGAGUGACGGUAAUGGGUAAAGAAGCACCGGCUAACUACGUG